AACGAACGCUGGCGGCAGGCCUAACACAUGCAAGUCGAACGCCGUAGCAAUACGGAGUGGCAGACGGGUGAGUAACACGUGGGAACGUACCCUUCGGUUCGGAAUAACUCAGGGAAACUUGAGCUAAUACCGGAUACGUCCGAGAGGAGAAAGAUUUAUCGCCGAGGGAUCGGCCCGCGUCUGAUUAGCUUGUUGGUGAGGUAACGGCUCACCAAGGCGACGAUCAGUAGCUGGCUGAGAGGAUGAUCAGCCACAUUGGGACUGAGACACGGCCCAAACUCCUACGGGAGGCAGCAGUGGGGAAUAUUGGACAAUGGGCGCAAGCCUGAUCCAGCCAUGCCGCGUGAGUGAUGAAGGCCCUAGGGUUGUAAAGCUCUUUUACCCGGGAAGAUAAUGACUGUACCGGGAGAAUAAGCCCCGG
rnacentral:rRNA from 1 species